GUGAAAACAAAGGAAACUGGAAUGUCAAGAAAUCAAAGUUGGUACUGGGAGUUGAAGGCAGCAGCUGAAGCCUGGAGCCUGGAUUCACUCUUUUUGGAAGACAUGACACAGCGUGCUGCCUGAUGACUCUCCCAGAGCACCGCAUGCCUGUCUGUCAGAGCCUUCAGAAGCUACUGGGCACAUGGAGCAGAGGUGGGUUCCUAGAACGCAUUGUCCAAACCUGGAUUUUGUCUCAGAAUCUUGGAUUUCCUAGAGCAGCAUGUAGCCAGUGACACCCUUUCAGUGGCAGACAAGAGCUCGCCGGGCGAGCAUGCAGCUUGUAGUUGGUGCUUGCACGUUUCCAGCCAGGCUCUGGAACCUGGCAUAGCAUUUCUUUUCAAGUCAGAGUAGUAAUCACUGGCCUCCCCAUCUCCCACCCUGUGCCCGGCCAACGAGAAGGAAUGUACCUCAGCCCAGAUCUCCCACAGCCAGCAUCUCUGGGUAGAACAUGAAUAGCUACUUCUGUGUGGGGACUGGAAUGCUCGCAGUGGUGGCUGGAAGGGAGCAAUUGGUAGGUUGGCAAGUCUGCUCGGUUACUCUUCUGUGGUGUCUAUGGCCUUGAGCAGAGGACGGUGGAUUGUGAGCGCCACAGUGGAUACGGCAAGUAAGUUAAAGUCCCGAGAGAAACUUACUCCUUCCUCUACAAGCUCUCACCCAGGGGUUCUCCCUUUGGGGGAGGUCACAUAUCAGAUAUUUACACUGCGGUUCAUAACAGUAGCAGCAUUACAGUUAUGAAGUGGCAAAGAAAUAAUUUUAUGGUUGGGAGGCAGCACAACAUAAGGAACUGUGUUAGGAAGGUUGAGAACCACUGUAUCUAGAGUAUAACAGGAAUUCCCAUUUCCUUCAUUUUUCCCAACCCUGUGGUGUCAUUAUAAGGAGCCAAGAGCCUCCAGAAACUGCCUCUGUGGACAGGGGAUUCAGGUACCGAGUCCUGGUGGGCCAGAGCAGUGUGGCAGGACCCCUCUAUCCUCUGGCUGCUUUGCUAUGUGCAUGGUUAUACGGAAUUGCCUGGCAGCUCAAGGAAUUAAAAGCUUUCUUGCUCUGCCCUGCACCUCUUUGGGACUCUGACAGCAGGAAAGCCAUGACCAGAGGAAGAUCUUUGAAACAUGAUUAAUAAAGGACCCAGACACAGAUAUUGAGGUUCAGGGUUCAAGCUGAAGAUCAGAGAAGCAAAGCAGCUAAGCCAGCAGAUCUUUCCUCUACCCAGCUGAAAUGGCAAUCCU